rnacentral:misc_RNA from 1 species
AAGUCGUAACAAGGUUUCCGUAGGUGAACCUGCGGAAGGAUCAUUAACACGUGAUACUCACGUCCCUUAUUUACUUAAUCUGAUUUUGUACGUUUGUAUGAAUUCCUGGCUUAACGGUCGGUCGAGUUUGUAUAGAUGUCGUAUAUUACUAAUACGAAACAACUCUUAGCAACGGAUAUCUUGGUUCUC